rnacentral:rRNA from 1 species
UCAGGCCUAACACAUGCAAGUCGAGCGGAAACGAGUUAUCUGAACCUUCGGGGAACGAUAACGGCGUCGAGCGGCGGACGGGUGAGUAAUGCCUAGGAAAUUGCCCUGAUGUGGGGGAUAACCAUUGGAAACGAUGGCUAAUACCGCAUGAUGCCUACGGGCCAAAGAGGGGGACCUUCGGGCCUCUCGCGUCAGGAUAUGCCUAGGUGGGAUUAGCUAGUUGGUGAGGUAAGGGCUCACCAAGGCGACGAUCCCUAGCUGGUCUGAGAGGAUGAUCAGCCACACUGGAACUGAGACACGGUCCAGACUCCUACGGGAGGCAGCAGUGGGGAAUAUUGCACAAUGGGCGCAAGCCUGAUGCAGCCAUGCCGCGUGUGUGAAGAAGGCCUUCGGGUUGUAAAGCACCUUCAGUCGUGAGGAAGGCGGGUACGUUAAUAGCGUAUUCGUUUGACGUUAGCGACAGAAGAAGCACCGGCUAACUCCGUGCCAGCAGCCGCGGUAAUACGGAGGGUGCGAGCGUUAAUCGGAAUUACUGGGCGUAAAGCGCAUGCAGGUGGUUUGUUAAGUCAGAUGUGAAAGCCCGGGGCUCAACCUCGGAAUAGCAUUUGAAACUGGCAGACUAGAGUACUGUAGAGGGGGGUAGAAUUUCA